rnacentral:rRNA from 1 species
AGCCCGCUCGCCGGAAGACCAAGGGUUCCUGUCCAACGUUAAUCGGGGCAGGGUGAGUCGACCCCUAAGGCGAGGCCGAAAGGCGUAGUCGAUGGGAAACAGGUUAAUAUUCCUGUACUUGGUGUUACUGCGAAGGGGGGACGGAGAAGGCUAUGUUGGCCGGGCGACGGUUGUCCCGGUUUAAGCGUGUAGGCUGGUUUUCCAGGCAAAUCCGGAAAACCAAGGCUGAGGCGUGAUGACGAGGCACUACGGUGCUGAAGCGACAAAUGCCCUGCUUCCAGGAAAAGCCUCUAAGCAUCAGGUAACAUCAAAUCGUACCCCAAACCGACACAGGUGGUCAGGUAGAGAAUACCAAGGCGCUUGAGAGAACUCGGGUGAAGGAACUAGGCAAAAUGGUGCCGUAACUUCGGGAGAAGGCACGCUGAUAUGUAGGUGAAGCGACUUGCUCGUGGAGCUGAAAUCAGUCGAAGAUACCAGCUGGCUGCAACUGUUUAUUAAAAACACAGCACUGUGCAAACACGAAAGUGGACGUAUACGGUGUGACGCCUGCCCGGUGCCGGAAGGUUAAUUGAUGGGGUUAGCGGUAACGCGAAGCUCUUGAUCGAAGCCCCGGUAAACGGCGGCCGUAACUAUAACGGUCCUAAGGUAGCGAAAUUCCUUGUCGGGUAAGUUCCGACCUGCACGAAUGGCGUAAUGAUGGCCAGGCUGUCUCCACCCGAGACUCAGUGAAAUUGAACUCGCUGUGAAGAUGCAGUGUACCCGCGGCAAGACGGAAAGACCCCGUGAACCUUUACUAUAGCUUGACACUGAACAUUGAGCCUUGAUGUGUAGGAUAGGUGGGAGGCUUUGAAGUGUGGACGCCAGUCUGCAUGGAGCCGACCUUGAAAUACCACCCUUUAAUGUUUGAUGUUCUAACGUUGGCCCGUAAUCCGGGUUGCGGACAGUGUCUGGUGGGUAGUUUGACUGGGGCGGUCUCCUCCUAAAGAGUAACGGAGGAGCACGAAGGUUGGCUAAUCCUGGUCGGACAUCAGGAGGUUAGUGCAAUGGCAUAAGCCAGCUUGACUGCGAGCGUGACGGCGCGAGCAGGUGCGAAAGCAGGUCAUAGUGAUCCGGUGGUUCUGAAUGGAAGGGCCAUCGCUCAACGGAUAAAAGGUACUCCGGGGAUAACAGGCUGAUACCGCCCAAGAGUUCAUAUCGACGGCGGUGUUUGGCACCUCGAUGUCGGCUCAUCACAUCCUGGGGCUGAAGUAGGUCCCAAGGGUAUGGCUGUUCGCCAUUUAAAGUGGUACGCGAGCUGGGUUUAGAACGUCGUGAGACAGUUCGGUCCCUAUCUGCCGUGGGCGCUGGAGAACUGAGGGGGGCUGCUCCUAGUACGAGAGGACCGGAGUGGACGCAUCACUGGUGUUCGGGUUGUCAUGCCAAUGGCACUGCCCGGUAGCUAAAUGCGGAAGAGAUAAGUGCUGAAAGCAUCUAAGCACGAAACUUGCCCCGAGAUGAGUUCUCCCUGACUCCUUGAGAGUCCUGAAGGAACGUUGAAGACGACGACGUUGAUAGGCCGGGUGUGUAAGCGCAGCGAUGCGUUGAGCUAACCGGUACUAAUGAACCGUGAGGCUUAACCUU